rnacentral:tRNA from 1 species
GCAUCGGUGGUCUAGUGGUAGAAUACUCGCCUGCCACGCGGGUGACUUGGGUUCGAUUCCCGGCCGAUGCA